UACGGGGGGUGCAAGCGUUGCUCGGAAUCACUGGGCGUAAAGCGUCCGCAGGCGGCUAGAUAAGUCGGAUGUGAAAGCCCGGGGCUCAACCCCGGAACUGCAUUCGAAACUGUCUGGCUUGAGUACGGGAGAGGGUCGUGGAAUUCCUGGUGUAGAGGUGAAAUUCGUAGAUAUCAGGAGGAACACCGGUGGCGAAAGCGGCGACCUGGCCCGAUACUGACGCUCAUGGACGAAAGCGUGGGGAGCAAACAGG
rnacentral:rRNA from 1 species